rnacentral:rRNA from 1 species
CCUACGGGGGGCUGCAGUGGGGAAUAUUGGACAAUGGGGGGAACCCUGAUCCAGCCAUGCCGCGUGUGUGAAGAAGGCCCUCGGGUUGUAAAGCACUUUCAGUGAGGAAGAACGCCUGGUGGUUAAUACCCAUCAGGAAAGACAUCACUCACAGAAGAAGCACCGGCUAACUCCGUGCCAGCAGCCGCGGUAAUACGGAGGGUGCGAGCGUUAAUCGGAAUUACUGGGCGUAAAGCGCGCGUAGGUGGCUUGAUAAGCCGGUUGUGAAAGCCCCGGGCUCAACCUGGGAACGGCAUCCGGAACUGUCAAGCUAGAGUGCAGGAGAGGAAGGUAGAAUUCCCGGUGUAGCGGCGAAAUGCGUAGAGAUCGGGAGGAAUACCAGUGGCGAAGGCGGCCUUCUGGACUGACACUGACACUGAGGUGCGAAAGCGUGGGUAGCAAACAGGAUUAGAUACCCCAGUAGUC